rnacentral:lncRNA from 1 species
AGGAGAAAUGGCUCCAGGCUGAGCAGGGCAGGUUGAGACAGGCUGCAUCCUGGCUGCUAAGGGAGAGUUAUUCUGCCUUACGUGUGUGUUCUGUUCAGGCAGAUAUUAAACUAGGUCUCUUCCAGCAUUGUCACGGACGCUGCUCUCAUCUGCUGCAUUAAGUAAUUUGUGCUUCUCCCCCAGAAAAGUAUUUAUUUCGUCUCUGUACCGCUGUCAAAGCUAAUAUUAGCGAGUGUUACUGAACCGUUUUACAUCUGCUCCAGCAGCAGCUGCUCCACGGGAGCAUGACUUGACAAGAGGACAGGGCAGAGGAAGAAAGUCACAUCGGAUACUUAGCAGGAAAGUGGGGAAGGAUAAGGUGCUGAGGGGCAGCAGGGCAGGGGCUUGUGGCACUCAAGAACAGUAUCGCAAAGAAUUUAAGUACAGUAUAAGCAAUCCUCUGCCUAUGCUUAUGCCUGAGCGGCACAAAAUGCCCCACACAGGAUGGGUUCUGGCUGUGUAAUUGUCGCUGGAGAGGCCCGUGGGGAUGAGCCAAAUUAGCGCUGCUCAGAACCUGCCUGCGAGGCACUUUAGCAGAGAGAACAAUUUGUGGAUUUUCUUUUCCCUUGCACUUGAAAAAAGCAAGCUCAGGCCACCCUGAUUCUCAGGGAUGAAACCAAGAAACUGGUGCUGUUAAAGCCUGCAUAUGAAUGUACUUCGCAUCAACUCUGCGUGCGUAUACGUCUAUUUACUCUAACGGAAGAAAUACUAACAGCCAGUGCUGAACUGGAGCCCACCUGAAGUGCGCUCGGAGCCUGUCUUUUGGCGAGGAUGCUGCAGGGGGUGCUGGAGAUCGUCGUUUCCUCCCCACCGAGCUGCCAACCUACUCGAGCACCAGGUAUCAGUGCUGCUCCUGCCUCAGUUUUGGUAUACAACCAAGAGGAGGAGUGGUCCUUUUGUCCCUCUGGGGAAUGAAGACAAGGAAGAAGGGCAAGGUGGAAAUAUGGACCUUUCUGUAUUGCUGGAUCUUUAACCUCGUCUGUAUUUUGGGUGUUGCUCAUGCUCUUCAGACAUUCCACAGAUGGAGAGGGGGAAAAGCUUGUAUCCUUUUCAAAUCCAGGUCUAUGAGAGCCUUUGAUAUAGCAGCAUGCCAUGAGGGGAAAUGUAAUGCCAAGAAUACCAUAACAUAAACAGUAGUGGCUGAGGAGUCUGUCAUGAAUAAUUUAAGAUAUCCCAAAUGGAGACUUCCAGAGCCUCAACCCCUGAAGUGCUCAAGACAUCAAGAAGGAUUUGUGGUGGUUGUGGGAAUGGCUGUAUGGUGCUUAGCUGCCUGGGUUAAAUCACAACAGUUCUUUCUGGUGUGCUGCUUGGGGCACAAAGGGUGGAGAUAACAGCAGAUCCGACCAGAAUGUGUUAAAACCAAAUUGUUAUAAAUAUCAUAGUAUUUAAUAAUUGCUAGUCACAAUGCUUUUUUAUUAUUAUUUUCAGAGUUAUUUCAGAAGAUUUACGUGGAACUAUAUUGUUUAGUACCUUACUUAUUAUAUGUUCCCUGUAGUGCUGUUUGCUGUGUCUUGGGGCUGGAUCAAGAUUAUCAUUUUGCUGUACUGUGUAACCCUGGUUUACAGUAUGAUAGAAUUACUGGUCAGGAAACCAAUCUGGUAUUUGUACUCAGUAUUGCAGUCAUCUUUGUACUUUAGGAACCAUAAUGUGAAAACUAGUAAUAAUUACACUCUUUGCUCUGUCUCCCCAUGGAGACAGUCUAUAGGGGGAACCACGAGGAUACGUUACGUUACGUUACCCCAUCAGCCACCUUGAAACACCCUGCCAGCCUUCUGCCACCACCAGAGUCACCAGCUGUGGCUCAAGGAGACAUGGAGAGCAAUGGAGAAUGCAAGGUUCAAUUCUUGUGCAGGCUGGCUGUGGCCACACUACCCCUGCCCUGCUAUCAUUACUUCAGCUGCUGAGCUCCACUAAUUGCUCUCCAGAGGAGUCCGAUAGCAAUGGGGUGUGCUUUGCUAAGAUAACUGCAGUUACACUGGCUGGGAGCAAAUGACAAGGGCUAUCAAUCCUCAUGCUUCAGGACACAAACUGAAUACCAUUUCAGGCUAGGAAUAAGCCAGUGCAAAAUGUUCUCAGAAAAAAACAAAAGACUCACCUGCUUCUUUAUACAUUGUCAAGUUCGGGUUGGACCUGUUAAGAUUUUCACAGUUUUUGGGCACAGAAAGAAUGUUGAGCUGAAUCCCAUCAGAGCAGAGUCCUCUGACUUUGCCUGUGUUCCCCACACUAUGGCUUUAGCAACACCUAUGGGGAGGAAAGAGUUUUAGUUUGCAAAACUGGCAUUGCCUGGGAGUGAAACUGGGGUGUGAGGGUAGAACUAUGUGUGGAUAGAAAUGGUGUGUUGAAAUGCCAUCUAGAAGCACUCAGCACUUCCAGUGGCACAAGCCUCUCUUACCUUUCCAGCUUGGCUUAUAAAAUAAAAAAUUUCCAUUGAAUCAUGUCAACAGCACAGAGCAUCCUAAUUGCCUUUACUUCUACCCGGCAGCUCUUAUUCCAAGCCUACCUCUCCCAGCAGCUAAUUCCACUGUUGCUCAACCUAAUACACUACAGAGAAAUCCCAAUAUCUUUUUAAAAAUCCUUUCUUUGGAGAUAGUUUUAUCUGAUUCUCUAAUAAGGAUUCUAUUAAGGGAAGCCUCUGCUGUGCUUUGUUAAGGAAUUGAUGCAAUUUGAUUUUUAUUAUAUGAACAGAAUAACAUGGAUAGUAGCUGUCUCUGAUACAAAGUGCAAAAAGUAUUGUGCUUCCAC